rnacentral:rRNA from 1 species
GAUGAACGCUGGCGGCGCGCCUAACACAUGCAAGUCGAGCGGGAAGCUUUUUAAGGAUUCUUCGGAUGAAUUAAAAGUGGAGAGCGGCGGACGGGUGAGUAACGCGUGAGAAACCUGCCCUAUACAGGGGGAUAGCCAUUGGAAACGAUGAUUAAUACCCCAUAUGACCACAGUAUCGCAUGAUACAGCGGUGAAAACUCCGGUGGUAUAGGAUGGUCUCGCGUCUGAUUAGCUAGUUGGUGGGGUAACGGCCUACCAAGGCGACGAUCAGUAGCCGGCCUGAGAGGGUGAUCGGCCACACUGGAACUGAGACACGGUCCAGACUCCUACGGGAGGCAGCAGUGGGGAAUAUUGCACAAUGGGCGAAAGCCUGAUGCAGCAACGCCGCGUGAGCGAUGAAGGCCUUUCGGGUCGUAAAAGCUCUGUCCUAGGAAAAUGACGGUACUAGGAGGAAGCCCCGGCUAAC